UACGAAGGGUGCUAGCGUUGUUCGGAUUGACUGGGCGUAAAGCGCGCGUAGGCGGCUUUGUAAGUCAGAGGUGAAAUCCCGGGGCUCAACUCCGGAACUGCCUUUGAAACUGCAUCGCUUGAAUGUCGGAGAGGUGAGUGGAAUUCCGAGUGUUGAGGUGAAAUUCGUAGAUAUUCGGAAGAACACCAGUGGCGAAGGCGGCUCACUGGACGACUAUUGACGCUGAGGUGCGAAAGCGUGGGGAGCAAACAGG
rnacentral:rRNA from 1 species